rnacentral:tRNA from 1 species
GCGGUCGUGGCGGACUUGGCAGACGCGCUACGUUGAGGGGGUAGUACUCACAAGGUGUAUGGGUUCAAGUCCCAUCGACCGCACCA